rnacentral:rRNA from 1 species
UACACUCCUACGGGAGGCAGCAGUGGGGAAUCUUGCGCAAUGGGCGAAAGCCUGACGCAGCCAUGCCGCGUGAAUGAUGAAGGUCUUAGGAUUGUAAAAUUCUUUCACCGGGGACGAUAAUGACGGUACCCGGAGAAGAAGCCCCGGCUAACUUCGUGCCAGCAGCCGCGGUAAUACGAAGGGGGCUAGCGUUGCUCGGAAUUACUGGGCGUAAAGGGAGCGUAGGCGGACAUUUAAGUCAGGGGUGAAAUCCCGGGGCUCAACCUCGGAAUUGCCUUUGAUACUGGGUGUCUUGAGUAUGAGAGAGGUGUGUGGAACUCCGAGUGUAGAGGUGAAAUUCGUAGAUAUUCGGAAGAACACCAGUGGCGAAGGCGACACACUGGCUCAUUACUGACGCUGAGGCUCGAAAGCGUGGGGAGCAAACAGGAUUAGAAACCCCGGUAGUCCC